rfam:Colletotrichum salicis strain CBS 607.94 Scaffold_202.1, whole genome shotgun sequence.
GGUCUGGUGGUGUAGUUGGUUAUCACGUCAGUCUAACAUUUCGAGAGGAUCUUACGAUCAUCUCACUGUUCACUGAAGGUCUCCGGUUCAAGUCCGGGCUAGAUCA